UGGUGAUGGUAUUACCCUGCUUGCAAGUC
rnacentral:piRNA from 1 species